rnacentral:lncRNA from 1 species
ACGGUGAUGGUGGGGGUAAUAUAAUGGUGAUAGUUAAAGUAGUAAUUAUUGAUAGUCAUCUUAUUGCAAAACGAAAAAUUGUCCUUAUUAUCUUUAAUUGCUACGGUCGAGAUAAAUUGAACGUGGAAAAAAAUGGCGGUCUUGCUACGAUCGAGUUUACUCGAUUUGGACUUACAAUGUUGCAGGGAUUUGAAGAGAACUAGGUUCGGUCCUGGCGUUAGUGAUAAUAAGUGACUGGUCAUUGGCUAAGGAUAAGUGGGAAGUACAUGUCAUUGAGUGGAAAGGGAAAGAAAAUAAAGAGAAAUGAACAGAUUACAUCACUGAAUAAGUUGCGACAUCCAAUAAAAUUGACGAGGCAAUCAUCUUACGUGUGAUUUUUUUCUCUGCUAACGAUAAAAAUGGAAAGUCUAAAUAAUAUUGUAAG